UACGUAGGUCUCGAGCGUUGUCCGGAUUUAUUGGGCGUAAAGCGAGCGCAGGCGGUUAUUUAAGUCUGAAGUUAAAGGCCGUGGCUCAACCAUGGUUCGCUUUGGAAACUGGAUAACUUGAGUGCAGAAGGGGAGAGUGGAAUUCCAUGUGUAGCGGUGAAAUGCGUAGAUAUAUGGAGGAACACCGAUGGCGAAGGCAGCCCCCUGGGCCUGUACUGACGCUCAUGCACGAAAGCGUGGGGAGCAAACAGG
rnacentral:rRNA from 1 species